rnacentral:rRNA from 1 species
GACGAACGCUGGCGGCGUGCUUAACACAUGCAAGUCGAACGGAAAGGCCUCUUUCGGGGGGUACUCGAGUGGCGAACGGGUGAGUAACACGUGAGUAACCUGCCCUUGACUUUGGGAUAACUUCAGGAAACUGGGGCUAAUACCGGAUAGGAGCUCCUGCUGCAUGGUGGGGGUUGGAAAGUUUCGGCGGUUGGGGAUGGACUCGCGGCUUAUCAACUUGUUGGUGGGGUAGUGGCUUACCAAGGCUUUGACGGGUAGCCGGCCUGAGAGGGUGACCGGCCACAUUGGGACUGAGAUACGGCCCAGACUCCUACGGGAGGCAGCAGUGGGGAAUAUUGCACAAUGGGUGGAAGCCUGAUGCAGCAACGCCGGGUGCGGGAUGACGGCCUUCGGGUUGUAAACCGCUUUCGCUCAUGACGAAGCUUUGUGUGACGGUAGUGGGUAAAGAAGCACCGGCUAACUACGUG